GUUGGUGAAUGGUUACUGCCCAAGAGACCAACUGCCUUUGAUGGAAUUGGAUCAUGUUGCAAACUGACAGAAACAGAACAGUUACCGUUCUACUGACUCCAGUCACAGAGAGGAGGUACCGUCCUACUGACUCCAGCCAUAGAGAAGAGGUACCGUCCUACUGACUCCAGACCUAGAGAAGAGGUACUGUCCUACUGACUCCAGCCAUAAAGAAGAGGUACCGUCCUACUGACUCCAGCCAUAAAGAAGAAGUACCUAUCCUACUGACUCCAGCCAUAAAGAAGAGGUACCGUCCUACUGACUCCAGACCUAGAGAAGAGGUACCGUCCUACUGACUCCAGCCAUAAAGAAGAGGUACCGUCCUACUGACUCCAGCCAUUAAGAAGAGGUACGAUCCUACUGACUCCAGCCAUAGAGAAGAGCAAAGAAAAGAGUGAACAUGAGCUAUCAACCUUAUAGCCAUAUGUGUUACACAACAUGGUUCUGGAGGAAAGGAUUUAGCAAAGAAACAGGAGAUUAUGAAAUAGGAUAAAUUUCAAACUGACCACAAUGGCUGACGGUUCUCAGGGAAGGGAUGCCCAGGACCAGCCUGUGAUGGACAGUGGUUCUGCAGAGCAAGCUAACAGGGCAAACUCUGUGUCAAAUGAUGGGAACAACUGCAGGCAAAACAAAUCUACUGAACCUGAACAAGUGACUGUUGAACCUGUUCUAAUACAUAAUUCCAUUUCGAGAAGUAUCAGUUAUGACUACACUGAUUCCACACUCUUCCCAACAAACACUUUGACUCCUAAUCAUGGUCAGCAUGAUGAAAAUCACAGAAGGAAUGAAGGGUUGCCAAAAAUUCUGUCCUUAAGACGAGGGAACGUGGGCACCACAGUCUUGGGGCCUGAUCUUCCAUCCACAAGAGGAGGGAAUGAGAGCACCACAGUCCUGGGCCCUGACCAAGGCGUUUCCUGAUCUUCCAUCCACAAGACGAGGGAACGUGAGCACUGUAGCACAGGGCCCUGGCCAAGGGUUCCCUGAUCUUCCAUCCAC